CGCUGGCGGCGUGCCUAACACAUGCAAGUCGAGCGGGGAUUGUGGAAGUGCUUGCACAGAAGCAAUUCUAGCGGCGGACGGGUGAGUAACGCGUGAGCAAGCUGUCCUUCACAGGGGGAUAACACUUGGAAACAGGUGCUAAUACCGCAUAAGACCACGCAGCCGCAUGGCAGAGAGGUCAAAGGAGAAAUCCGGUGAAGGGUGCGCUCGCGUCCCAUUAGAUAGUUGGCGGGGUAACGGCCCACCAAGUCGACGAUGGGUAGCCGACCUGAGAGGGUGAUCGGCCACACUGGGACUGAGACACGGCCCAGACUCCUACGGGAGGCAGCAGUGGGGAAUAUUGGGCAAUGGGCGAAAGCCUGACCCAGCAACGCCGCGUGAGGGAAGAAGGUUUUCGGAUUGUAAACCUCUGUCCUGGGGGACGAAGGAAGUGACGGUACCCCGGGAGGAAGCCCCGGCUAACUACGUGCCAGCAGCCGCGGUAAUACGUAGGGGGCGAGCGUUGUCCGGAAUUAUUGGGCGUAAAGGGCGCGUAGACGGCUGUGUAAGUUAUAGGUGAAAGCCCAACUUUCAAGGUUGGAACUGCCUGUAAUACUGCAUGGCUUGAGUGCAGGAGAGGGAAGCGGAAUUCCUAGUGUAGCGGUGAAAUGCGUAGAUAUUAGGAGGAACACCAGUGGCGAAGGCGGCUUUCUGGACUGUAACUGACGUUGAGGCGCGAAAGCGUGGGGAGCAAACAGGAUUAGAUACCCUGGUAGUCCACGCUGUAAACGAUGGAUGCUAGGUGUGGGAGGUAUCGACCCCUUCCGUGCCGGAGUUAACGCAAUAAGCAUCCCGCCUGGGGAGUACGGCCGCAAGGUUGAAACUCAAAGGAA
rnacentral:rRNA from 1 species